AUCAAAUCAUGCACAAUAGUUGAAGUCCUUCAAGUCAACUUUCCAACUCUACCUUCCAAUUGUUAAAUGCCUUUCUACAAUUCUUUGUAUACUUGAAAGAGUGGCAGUAGGUUCAAAUUUCACAUCUAGACUUUAAAUAGCCAUAACUCUCUCAUUGCAAACUCAAAGUUAACAACCCUUGCACGAAAAUUGUAUUCUUUCAAACUAGCUUUCCAACAACACCUUUUGUUUUCUAGAAAACCUUCUAUAACUUUCUUUAUGCUUGAAAGAAUGACAAUUGGUAAAUAAUUUACACCCUAACUUCAAACAACCUUAACUUCUUUAUAUAAAACUUAAAUAACAAACUUUAUAUACCAAAAUUAUAGCCCAAAAUAGAAGCUUUUUGAAUCUCCCCUC
rnacentral:lncRNA from 1 species